CCUACGGGAGGCAGCAGUGGGGAAUAUUGGACAAUGGGCGAAAGCCUGAUCCAGCAAUGCCGCGUGAGUGAUGAAGGCCUUCGGGUCGUAAAGCUCUUUUACCAGGGAUGAUAAUGACAGUACCUGGAGAAUAAGCUCCGGCUAACUCCGUGCCAGCAGCCGCGGUAAUACGGAGGGAGCUAGCGUUGUUCGGAAUUACUGGGCGUAAAGAGUACGUAGGCGGUUAUUCAAGUCAGAGGUGAAAGCCCGGGGCUCAACCCCGGAACUGCCUUUGAAACUAGAUAACUAGAGUCUUGGAGAGGUUAGUGGAAUUCCGAGUGUAGAGGUGAAAUUCGUAGAUAUUCGGAAGAACACCAGUGGCGAAGGCGACUAACUGGACAAGUACUGACGCUGAGGUACGAAAGCGUGGGGAGCAAACAGGAUUAGAUACCCUGGUAGUCCACGCCGUAAACGAUGAUAACUAGUUGUUCGGUCACUUGGUGACUGAGUGACGCAGCUAACGCAUUAAGUUAUCCGCCUGGGGAGUACGGUCGCAAGAUUAAACUCAAAUGAAUUGACGG
rnacentral:rRNA from 1 species